rnacentral:rRNA from 1 species
UACGUAGGGGGCAAGCGUUAUCCGGAUUUACUGGGUGUAAAGGGAGUGUAGGCGGCCUGGCAAGCCAGAUGUGAAAGCCCGCGGCUCAACUGCGGGACUGCAUUUGGAACUGUUAGGCUUGAGUGCAGGAGAGGAAAGUGGAAUUCCUAGUGUAGCGGUGAAAUGCUUAGAUAUUAGGAGGAACACCAGUGGCGAAGGCGGCUUUCUGGACUGUAACUGACGCUGAGGCUCGAAAGCGUGGGGAGCAAACAGG